CCUACGGGUGGCAGCAGUGGGGGAUAUUGCACAAUGGGGGAAACCCUGAUGCAGCGACGCCGCGUGGGCGAAGAAGUAUUUCGGUGUGUAAAGCCCUAUCAGCAGGGAAGCAGAAAUGACGGUACCUGAGGAAGAAGCACCGGCUAAAUACGUGCCAGCAGCCGCGGUAAUACGUAUGGUGCAAGCGUUAUCCGGAUUUACUGGGUGUAAAGGGAGCGCAGGCGGCACGGCAAGCCUGAUGUGAAAGCCCACGGCCCAACCGCGGGACUGCAGUGGGAACUACCGGGCUGGAGUGCCGGAGAGGUAGGCGGAAUUCCUAGUGUAGCGGUGAAAUGCGUAGAUAUUAGGAGGAACACCAGUGGCGAAGGCGGCCUACUGGACGGUGACUGACGCUGAGGCUCGAAAGCGUGGGGAGCAAACAGGAUUAGAUACCCCUGUAGUC
rnacentral:rRNA from 1 species